UACAGAGGGGGCGAGCGUUGUUCGGAAUUACUGGGCGUAAAGGGCGCGUAGGCGGCCUUCUAAGUCGAACGUGAAAUCCCCGGGCUCAACCCGGGAACUGCGUCCGAUACUGGGAGGCUUGAAUCCGGGAGAGGGAUGUGGAAUUCCAGGUGUAGCGGUGAAAUGCGUAGAUAUCUGGAGGAACACCGGUGGCGAAGGCGGCAUCCUGGACCGGUAUUGACGCUGAGGCGCGAAAGCCAGGGG
rnacentral:rRNA from 1 species